rnacentral:rRNA from 1 species
UACGUAGGGGGCAAGCGUUGUCCGGAAUCAUUGGGCGUAAAGCGCGCGUAGGCGGCCCGGUAAGUCCGCUGUAAAAGUCCAGGGCUCAACCCUCGGAAGCCGGUGGAUACUGUCGGGCUAGAGUACGGAAGAGGCGAGUGGAAUUCCCGGUGUAGCGGUGAAAUGCGCAGAUAUCAGGAGGAACACCGAUGGCGAAGGCAGGGUCUCUGGGCCACUACUGACGCUGAGAAGCGAAAGCAUGGGGAGCGAACAGG